rnacentral:rRNA from 1 species
AGUGAACGCUGGCGGUAGGCCUAACACAUGCAAGUCGAACGAGUGGCGGACGGGUGAGGAAUACAUCGGAAUCCACUCUGUCGUGGGGGAUAACGUAGGGAAAAUUACGCUUAUACCGCAUACGAUUGAAUGAGCCGAUGUCGGAUUAGCUGGUUGGCGGGGUAAAGGCCCACAAGGGCGACGAUCCGUAGCUGGUCUGAGUGGAUGAUCGGCAACACUGGAACUGGGAAACGGUCCAGACUCCUACGGGGGGCAGAGUUGGGGAAUAUUAGACAAUGGUCGCAGGCCUGAUCCAGCCAUACCGCGUAGGGGAAGAAGGCCUUCGGUUUGUAAGGCCCUUUUGUUGGGACGGCGGUACCCGAAGAAUAAGCACCGGCUAACUUCGUGCCAGCAGCCGCGGUAAUUC